GGAACCAAAGAAGCUCCGGGAGAUCCGGGUGUUAAAAGCUGGUUGGAUAAGGGAUGGAAACCCUAUUUUCUUUUCUCCAAGACCAUGGUUGGUCUGCUUCCCUCACUCGGGCUCCUUGACAGUCUUCUAGAAGAGAGGAGGAGGAAAAGAAGCAGUUCCUGAUGUUACAAAUGAACAAGGAUCUCCCAGAACUAUGACUCAAUCAUAAAAUCUGUUUUGUUUGCAUGCAUGCCCAAAACAACCCUAUAGGUAGAACAUUAUCAUUAUCUCUGUUUUAGAGAUGAGGAAACAGGCUCAGAGAAGCUCAGAAAUUUGUUCAAGAUCGCACAGCUAGUAAAUGGCAGAAGUAGGAUUGUGAACCCAGGGAAUCUCCAGAGCCUCUGUGUAACCAUGAUAUUAUAUUUUUUUCCUCUUUAAAAACAAAAUUAAAAACCUUGCUAUAA
rnacentral:sRNA from 1 species